UAAAGGCCAAAUCGAACCCGAUACCCAUCUGCCCACUCGAAGUUGUCCAAUAGGGACCAGGCAAAAUAACCCCUAACGUCGGCGCCUUCCUCGUGGAUGGCUGGAAAACAAAAAAGCCAUCAUUUAGCCAGAAUUUCCGGGAAUCGCGGCAGCUCUGUCAUAGCGAACCUUUGGAGACCUGCAGCAGUGUGUCUCGGAGGAAGCGGCAGCGUUGGGCGUCCUCAAUCUCCACCAGCCCCACCUGGGAGAAGCCGUUCUCCGUGAUGUAGACUGUCGGGUUGCCGAACUUGUCCUGCACAACCAACGAGAGAGCUGAGAGCACCUUGGCUUUGGCAACUUGCGUAAGCCUUCUGGGAAUACAGCCAACCAAGAAUUGCCACACACGGGCCAGGCUGGAUCGACGUCCUGCUCCACCUCCAGAUCACCUUCGAACCCAAUCUUCGCCGGGC